rnacentral:rRNA from 1 species
GACGAACGCUGGCGGCGCGCUUAACACAUGCAAGUCGAACGGAAAGGCCUGCUUUCCCUUGUGGAUUGCGGGUACUCGAGUGGCGAACGGGUGAGUAACACGUGAGUGAUCUGCCCCCAACUUGGGUAUAAGCCUGGGAAACUGGGUCUAAUUCCCGAUAGGACUGCAGGGUGGUGCCUGUGGUGGAAAACGAUUUUCUAGUGGUUGGGGAUGAGCUCGCGGCCUAUCAGCUUGUUGGUGGGGUAAUGGCCUACCAAGGCGGCGACGGGUAGCCGGCCUGAGAGGGUGGACGGGCACAUUGGGACUGAGAUACGGCCAAGACUCCUACGGGAGGCAGCAGUGGGGAAUAUUGCGCAAUGGGCGGAAGCCUGAUGCAGCGACGCCGCGUGGGGGAUGACGGCCUUCGGGUUGUAGACUCCUUUCGACCGCGAGGAAGCCACCUGGUUGGAAGGGUGGUGACGGUAGUGGUAGAAGAAGCACCGGCUAACUACGUG